rnacentral:rRNA from 1 species
CCUACGGGGGGCAGCAGUGAGGAAUAUUGGUCAAUGGGCGAGAGCCUGAACCAGCCAAGUCGCGUGAGGGAGUACUGCCCUAUGGGUUGUAAACCUCUUUUGUCGGGGAGCAAAAGCCGGACGUGUCCGGCUGUGAGAGUACCCGAAGAAAAAGCAUCGGCAAACCCCGUGCCAGCAGCCGCGGUAAUACGGAGGAUGCUAGGGGUAUACGGGUUUUUUGGGUUUAAAGGGUGCGCGGGCGGGUUUUUAAGUCAGCGGUAAAAUCGUGGGGCUUAACCCCAUCCAGCCGUUGAAACUGGGGAUCUAGAGUGUGCGAGAGGUAUGCGGAAUGCGUGGUGUAGCGGUGAAAUGCAUAGAUAUCACGCAGAACCCCGAUUGCGAAGGCAGCAUACCGGUGCACAACUGACGCUCAGGCACGAAAGCGUGGGUAUCGAACAGGAUUAGAUACCCGUGUAGUC